GUUUUCACGCGAGCGGCCCUGCUUGGCCGAACCGCCUGCCGAGUCGCCCUCCACCAGGAAGAGUUCGGAUUUGGCCGGGUCGCGCUCGGAAC
rnacentral:sRNA from 1 species